UGGGGAAUUUUGGACAAUGGGCGAAAGCCUGAUCCAGCAAUGCCGCGUGUGUGAAGAAGGCCUUCGGGUUGUAAAGCACUUUUGUCCGGAAAGAAAUCCUCUGGGUUAAUACCUCGGGGGGAUGACGGUACCGGAAGAAUAAGCACCGGCUAACUACGUGCCAGCAGCCGCGGUAAUACGUAGGGUGCAAGCGUUAAUCGGAAUUACUGGGCGUAAAGCGUGCGCAGGCGGUUUUGUAAGACGGAUGUGAAAUCCCCGGGCUUAACCUGGGAACUGUAUUCGUGACUGCAAGGCUAGAGUAUGGCAGAGGGGGGUAGAAUUCCACGUGUAGCAGUGAAAUGCGGAGAGAUGUGGAGGAAUACCGAUGUCGAAGGCAGCCCCCUGGGCCAAUACUGACGCUCAUGCACGAAAGCGUGGGGACCAAACA
rnacentral:rRNA from 1 species